UUGUCACAGCAUAGGUACAUUGAGCAGCUGUUGGAGCGUCAUAGGAAGGUUGACGCCAAGCCGAGAUCUACCCCUUUGCCUCCGGGAUUUAGGUACACUCCUAAGGGGGACGGAGAGGAGCUGCUGGGCAAUCCCACGGAGUGUAGGGCUUUUAUGGGAGGAUUGAACUAUCUGGCGACGAACACGCGGCCUGACAUUUCGUAUGCAUUGAGCAUUUUGUCCCAGCAUAUGGCCACACCUACGAAGACUGCCAUGAACUUGGCCACUGGUGUUCUGCGUUACCUGGUGGGUACUCGCGAACUAGGAUUGCGUUUUGGGGGUGUUGGCGGUGUUGCAAUGUCCGGGUACAGUGAUUCGGACUGGGCAGGAGACCCAGUUACACGGCGUUCUACGUCCGGUUACAUAUUCACUCUUAAUGGGGCUGCGAUUAGCUGGAGCAGCCAACUUCAACGUACUGUGGCGGCUUCGUCGGUGGAGGCCAAGUACCAAGCUACACCGGCGGCUGUUCGUGAAGCUUUGUGGCUUCGCAAGCUGAUGGUCGAUUUUGGUUGCCUGAGAGCGCGGUGAAAAUCCAGAUAGACUCCCAGGGGGCGCUUAGCUUGGGAAAUAAUCCGAUUACGUCUGCUCGGUCGAAACACAUCGACGUACAGCAUCACAUAGUGCGUGAGAGGGUGAAUAUCGGUGAGGUGCAGUUGGAGUACUGCCCUACAGAGUGGAUAGUAGCGGAUGCGCUCACGAAGGCACUGGGAGAAGUGAAGUUCAAACGGUGCAGAGAAGCUAUGGGCGUUGUGUGAAGUGCCCAUUGGUGGAGCAAAUGUGCUACUGCGAGUUGGGAUAUGUCCCGAGGGGGCGUGUUGAAGGGCGGUCCUAUCCCCAACGUAGAUGGGUGGUAGUUAGGCGAUGAAUCCGCUAUGAUAGGUGAUGCCUCGGCCGUGCCCCGACCUUGCCUCGGCCGUACCUCGACCUUGCCUCGGCCGUGCCUCGACCUUGCCUCGGGUCUCUCUGCCGUGUAUCUCGGACACGUCCCUGAUGUGGAUAGGGCUUUGGUGGGAGGAUGUGUCCAGUCGACCCAACUGGACGGCGUGGAUUGCAGCAGGCGAUCAUUUGCUGCAACUACAAACAGGCCGUAUAGCUCGGAGUUGCAGAGCGAGCCGCAGCCUAACGUGCUGGGAAGGAGUGGAGGUGGUCUUGGUGCCCGCACGUGGCAGGUGGGGUAGCAUGCCUCAACAGACAGGCGGUGGCGGCAGUGCAGUGAUGCCGUGUAAUUUUUUUUUUGCUGCAAGAUAAGAACCACUAUCAAUUGUCUGACUCCGAAGCGGCUAGUAUUGGUGUACCUGAGUCAGGGCCUCUGCCAAGCUCCGUUAGACUUAGGAAACACAGUCGGCUAGGCACCACUGUCACCUGUGGAUGGUGAAGGAAUGCCGGAUGAAGCCGGAACAUCCAGUGGUGCAUGCCAGCGCAGGAGUACAGAAGAUAAGGGCAAUGAACAUGAGGAUACAUUAUGGCCUUCGGAGUGGUGAUGCAGGAAGGAGGAUAGGUCGAAUUAACGUGGCUGUCACUGAUCCAUACCCUGCUGAACUUUUGCUGAGUAAUACUUUCACUGAAGCCAUUUCAGGAGCAAAUGCAAAUGAGUGGCGCAGAGUGAUGGUCGAGGAGAUUGCUGCAUUAGCAGCUAAAUGCACUUGUGUGCGGUGUGUACAGCCUCAUGCUGUGCAUGUGCUACCGUGCCGGUGGUUGUACAAAUUGAAAACACUGGAAAAUGACAGUGUCAAGCGCUCCUUUGCAUGGCUAGUUGCAAAGGUGUACGAGAUGUACGAGACCUUGGAGAAGCGCAGGUGUUUUCGGGCAUGGAAAUUAUGAGGAUGAAGCCGGGCAAAUUGGUGUUGUCGCAAUGUAGGUAUAUUGAGCAGCUAUUGGAGCGUCACCAGAUGGUGGACGCCAAGCUAUGGCCUACCCCUUUGCCUCCGGGUUUUAUAUGCACACCUACGGGGGAUAGACAUGAGCUGCUGGGUAUUCCCACGGAGUAUAGGGUUUUGGUGAAAAGUUGAACUACCUAGCGACGAACACACGGCCGGACAUUUCUUAUGCAUUGAAUGUUUUGUCCAGGCAUAUGGCCACACCUACGAAGACUGCCAUGAACUUGGCAACCGGCGUUCUGCGUUACCUGGCGGGUACUCGCGAACUAGGAUUGCGUUUUGGGGGUGUUGGCGGUGUUGCAAUGUCCGGGUACAGUGAUUCGGACUGGGCAGGAGACCCAGUUACGCGGUGUUCUACGUCCGGUUACGUAUUCACUCUUAAUGGGGCUGCGAUUAGCUGGAGCAGCCAACUUUAACGUACUGUGGCGGCUUGGAGGCCGAGUACCAAGCUACAGCGGCGGCUGUUCGUUAACCUUUGUGGCUU
rnacentral:lncRNA from 1 species